GUCCUCUUGAUUUUAUAUGAGGUCGGGCCUGCCCAGUGAUUUAUUUUAACGGCCGCGGUAUUUUGACCGUGCAAAGGUAGCAUAAUCAUUAGUCUUUUAAUAGGAGACUGGAAUGAAAGGUUUGACGAAAUAGUAGCUGUCUCAUUUAUAUAAUUUUGAAUUUAACUUUUAAGUUAAAAGGCUUAAAUUUUGUUGAAGGACGAGAAGACCCUAUAGAGCUUUACUGAUAAAUAUUUAUUUUUGUUGUUAAUUAUCUUGAUUUUUUUUUAUCUGUUUUGUUGGGGUGACGAGAAAUAUAAUUUUAACUUUUGUUAUUUUUAUAACAUUGAUUUAUGAAUUUUAGAUCCACUAAUAGUGAUUAUUAGAAUAAGUUACCUUAGGGAUAACAGCGUAAUCCUCUUUGAGAGUUCAAAUUUACAAGAGGGCUUGCGACCUCGAUGUUGGAUUAAGAUGAUAAUUAGGUGCAGUAGCUUAAUUAAUAGGUCUGUUCGACCUUUAAAUUCUUACAUGAUCUGAGUUCAGACCGG
rnacentral:rRNA from 1 species